rnacentral:rRNA from 1 species
GAUGAACGCUAGCUACAGGCUUAACACAUGCAAGUCGAGGGGUAACGAGAGGAAGGCUUGCUUUCCUUGUCGACGACCGGCGCACGGGUGAGUAACGCGUAUCCAACCUGCCCCCAACUAGGGAAUAACCUUGCGAAAGUAAGACUAAUACCCUAUAAUUUCCUCAGAUGUCAUCUGACGAGGAAUAAAGAUUUAUCGGUUGUGGAUGGGGAUGCGUCUGAUUAGCUUGUUGGCGGGGUAACGGCCCACCAAGGCAACGAUCAGUAGGGGUUCUGAGAAGAAGGGCCCCCACAUUGGAACUGAGACACGGUCCAAACUCCUACGGGAGGCAGCAUUGAGGAAUAUUGGUCAAUGGGCGGAAGCCUGAACCAGCCUAGUAGCGUGCAGGAUGACGGCCCUAUGGGUUGUAAACUGCUUUUAUACAGGAAUAAAGUUAGCCACGUGUGGUUAUUUGUAGGUACUGUAUGAAUAAGGACCGGCUAAUUCCGUGCCAGCCGCCGCCGUAA